rnacentral:rRNA from 1 species
UGCCAGACUCCUACGGGAGGCAGCAGUGGGGGAUAUUGCACAAUGGAGGAAACUCUGAUGCAGCGACGCCGCGUGAGGGAAGACGGUCUUCGGAUUGUAAACCUCUGUCUUUGGGGAAGAAAAUGACGGUACCCAAAGAGGAAGCUCCGGCUAACUACGUGCCAGCAGCCGCGGUAAUACGUAGGGAGCGAGCGUUGUCCGGAAUUACUGGGUGUAAAGGGCGUGUAGCCGGGUUGACAAGUCAGAUGUGAAAUCCUGCGGCUUAACCGCAGAACUGCAUUUGAAACUGUUGAUCUUGAGUACUGGAGAGGCAGACGGAAUUCCUAGUGUAGCGGUGAAAUGCGUAGAUAUUAGGAGGAACACCAGUGGCGAAGGCGGUCUGCUGGACGAUGACUGACGUUGAGGCUCGAAAGCGUGGGGAGCAAACAGGAUUAGAUACCCGAGUA